UACAGAGGUCUCAAGCGUUGUUCGGAUUCAUUGGGCGUAAAGGGUGCGUAGGCGGGGCUUUAAGUCAGGGGUGAAAUCCUGGAGCUCAACUCCAGAACUGCCUUUGAUACUGAAGAUCUUGAGUUCGGGAGAGGUGAGUGGAACUGCGAGUGUAGAGGUGAAAUUCGUAGAUAUUGGGAAGAACACCGGUGGCGAAGGCGGCGCUCUGGACCGAGACUGACGCUGAGGCGCGAAAGCGUGGGGAGCAAACAGG
rnacentral:rRNA from 1 species